rnacentral:rRNA from 1 species
UACGGAGGGGGCUAGCGUUGUUCGGAAUUACUGGGCGUAAAGCGCGCGCAGGCGGAUAUUCAAGUCGGGGGUGAAAUCCCGGGGCUCAACCCCGGAACUGCCUCCGAUACUGGGUGUCUGGAGGACGGGAGAGGCGAGUGGAAUGCCGAGUGUAGAGGUGAAAUUCGUAGAUAUUCGGCGGAACACCCGUGGCGAAGGCGGCUCGCUGGCCCGUUUCUGACGCUGAGGCGCGAAAGCGUGGGGAGCAAAC